CGGUGUCGUCACUCUGAACAGCGUACCGGGGGGAGAUGGCCGGCAGUCUGCUGCUGGUCGGGAACCGGCUGGGCAUUCAUCAGUGGGUGGUUCACCAGUCUUUGCCCUGCAUUGCUCAAGUUCCACCUGGGAUUGCUGAAGACUGUACAGGAUUGCUCAUCUUUGCUGGGGUUCCAUGAAGUCCGCAUGGGGUUUGCAAAAUUCUGUACAGGUUCACUUAAGUUUACACUGGUUCGCACAGUUUUGCAGGUCUUCGCUGUCUAGAAGUUCUACUUCUUUACUCAAUCCCUGACAGUUUGCAGGUGGAAUCUUGAUUUCUGAUUCAUCUAGUGCUCACCAUAGUGCUACUGCCACUUCCCCCACCUUGUCAGGGGAUGUCCCUUCAAUUAAAAUAUCACCUGUACAUUGAUACAAUUUCACUGCUUCAGGAUGUGAUAUUAUUUGUAAAAGCUCAGCAAGCACAGCAGGAACAAGGGUGGCAGAAUGUUUACAUACCUAUGGGAGUCUGCUAAAGGUAUUUUGUAUCCCCUCCCAAGCAGAAGCAAAGUUUUCUUCAUCCUCUUCCUGCAAGGGAACCAUAAAGAACACGUACACCAAAGGCUGCCAUCCAUGGAUGUGUGGCUGCUCACAAAAACAGCUGUUACAUUGGCAAUGUUUGAAACAGCAGCUGCUAGCAGGGCUGUAUUAGCAUUCAGGCACUGAUAAUCAAUUGUUUAUUGCCACCUCCCAUCUGGACAGGUGAGUUAUAUGGGAAGUGCCUUCUGGAGAUUAUUUGGAUUUUUUUCUAAAUCUGCUGUGACUUCAGAAAUCCCAUGUUGUGCCACAGCAGAAAUGGGAUACUGCAGUAUGUCAGCAGUCUCUGAUUUAAGGAGUGCAGGGGCUAUGCAAAGUAUGCACAAUGCAGCCUCCCUUUCUUUGGGAUUUGGGAUUGAUACUUGAGCCAGAAGACCACACACUGCCAUACAGGCACAUUCCAGGUUCACCCACUGAGGACACCAAAUCCUAAUCUGAGGGGCUCUGGGGGGGUUUUGGGGGCACUGAGGUGCACUCAGGGCCUCUGUGGAGCACUGGGGGCUCUGAAGGGCACUCGUGGGCUCUGAGCCGAUCUGGGGGGCACUGAAAGGCACUGCGGGUCUCUAGGGGACAGUGGGUGGAACUUGGGUUGUCUGAACUAACGCUUGUGCAAUUCUGCGCCCGAGUUGGCACGUCCAUACUGCGGUGCCAAAACUCGCGCAUGCGCAGUGAUCAGUCUGAAUGAGCGCAUGCGUACUGCACUAUCGGAAUCGGCGCAUGCGUAGUGCGGAAUAUGGCGCAUGCGUGACGCAGUGAAAAAGUUACGCAUGCGUAGUGCUGUGUCUGGAAUAGCGCGUGCACAUUGCCGUACCGAAGCACUAUAGAGCCCCACAGAGCCCCAACCCUGCGCAGAAAACGUCAUAUAUUUGGGAGAAAACUGGUGUUCAAAAACAGAACAGCGGCAACGAUCUAAGGAGGAAAACUUAGUUUUACUAACUAUGGUAUUGGAAUGGAAGAUAAUACAGUAUAAUACUACCUAAUUGAAAUUGUGGCUAAUAAAUUAAAUAAAAUAAGAGGUACACUGUCUGAAAACCAAAAAGCCUACCUUGAACUGGAGGAUAUGCAGUUCUUCCUCUGAUCAUGAAGUCCCCUGGGAUCUUCUGCUCCAGAAGUCCCCUGCAGUUGUUCUGCUCUGCUGAGAACCAGGCAUACAGAAAACUGUCAGUCAAUGGAACCGGAUUAUUAACUCUUUAAUUACCUCUGCUUUACAGGAUCUUAUGAUGUGGAAUACCAAUAGCAAAACUAUAAAAUCAUGACAGAGGGGCUGUGGGGGGCUCUGAGAGGACCUGGGGGGCUCUGAGGGCACUUCGGGACUCUGUGGAGGACUGGGGGGCUCUGAAGGGGCCCCCAUCUCCUUUAAGCCGCACCACUCUCUCCUUGUGGGGUUCAUCUCAGAAGGCGAUGAGCAGCUUUGGCUGUGAGCUUCUUAUUUCAGUCAGGUGGGUCCCAAAGCAAAGCUGUUGGUGGAAGUGACAGAGGAAGAGAUGGAAGCAUUGCACAUCUCAUUAGGGAAGUGAAUUAGUUACACUGAUUCUCAAGGUGGUAAUUUGAGCCAUGGAAGCAGUGACAGGCUUUAAUAGCCUUCAGUGCUCCCUGCACAGAGGCAUACCCGAGGGGUUCUGAUGGGCAAGACGCAUCCCAGUGUGACCAUGCCCCAACUGCAGGGUGUACAAUUAAUGUUAUAGACAAAACCAGACAGAGUCUAGUUUGAUAAAGGGAUAGCUUUAUUUAAUUAAGCAAGGCGGUAAAGUGAGCAAAGCAGCGCUGGGAAAGGAGGGGAGCAUACACUCUACCACGGUCAUGAUUUGAACAAAGGAUUGGCUCUGUACUUAUACAGUUCUCACCUCCUGCAUAGGUUCCAGCCAUUCUUGCAUUGAUACAAUUCUCACCUCCUGCAGACAUUCCAGCGGCCACACAGGUUGUUACUGUGGUGUAGGUAUUUUGCUGGGGGAUUCAUUUUCCAGCCUGAUGGUUGUGGGGGUGAAAGUCAGUAGUCUUUUCCAUUAUUCUUUGGUUAUUUUCUAGCAGCGUAUGCGCCCCGGGUCUGCAACUUCUUAGUUUCUGUCGUUUACAACAUUAUUUACAUUCCCAGACACCUGAGAAAGUACCACUGAGUUUCAAUUUGACUAACAAACUUAACCCUUACCUAUCACAAUUAACAAAUGUACAGUUAGCAGAGUAGCAUGGUUAGAACAGUAUUUUACAGGUUUUAUAGUUAGAAAAAUUGUUGCAAUAGUAAGUAAUCAACAAUUAAAAGCGACAAUCAAAAAUAAAUGAAAUGCCCACCCAUAUCCUAGGCUUGCAGUACAAAACUGCAAAGGAAGGGAUCUUCAGAAAGAGAUUAUCAUAGUUAUCUCUAGAUCUGAGUCUGUGACAGGGGCACAAACCCAGGGGACAAAAGGGAGUGAAAAAAAA